rnacentral:lncRNA from 1 species
CUUAAUCAUAUAUUUCCUUACCAAGGAAUAUACAUCCUGAGAAAUCUAGCAUGCGUUCAUGACUUAUAUGCAUAUGUCGAAUUUGUUAUUUUGUUUAAUUUGUUCUUAUAUUUGUAUUUGACAACCUUCCUUGAUUAUUUCAUCUGUAAUCCAUCUUCACCCGCUAUUUGAAUUUCUUUAAAUCUCAAAUUUCAAACUAUGUC